rnacentral:rRNA from 1 species
ACGAACGCUGGCGGCGUGCUUAACACAUGCACGUCGAACGGAAAGGCCCUGCUUUUGUGGGGUGCUCGAGUGGCGAACGGGUGAGUAACACGUGAGUAACCUGCCCUUGACUUUGGGAUAACUUCAGGAAACUGGGGCUAAUACCGGAUAGGAGCUCCUGCUGCAUGGUGGGGGUUGGAAGGUUUCGGCGGUUGGGGAUGGACUCGCGGCUUAUCAGCUUGUUGGUGGGGUAGUGGCUUACCAAGGCUUUGACGGGUAGCCGGCCUGAGAGGGUGACCGGCCACAUUGGGACUGAGAUACGGCCCAGACUCCUACGGGAGGCAGCAGUGGGGAAUAUUGCACAAUGGGCGGAAGCCUGAUGCAGCAACGCCGCGUGCGGGAUGACGGCCUUCGGGUUGUAAACCGCUUUCGCCUGUGACGAAGCGUGAGUGACGGUAAUGGGUAAAGAAGCACCGGCUAACUACGUG